CAGAUUAUAGCAUAUAUUAAUGCCUUUUAUUUACACUAAAAAGAAAAAUUAUUUAAUCUGU
rnacentral:tRNA from 1 species